AUGAACGCUGGCGGCGUGCUUAACACAUGCAAGUCGAACGGUGAAAGAGAGCUUGCUCUCUGGAUCAGUGGCGAACGGGUGAGUAACACGUGAGCAAUCUGCCCCUGACUCUGGGAUAAGCGUUGGAAACGACGUCUAAUACCGGAUACGAGCUGCGAAGGCAUCUUCAGCAGCUGGAAAGAACUUCGGUCAGGGAUGAGCUCGCGGCCUAUCAGCUAGUUGGUGAGGUAAAGGCUCACCAAGGCGUCGACGGGUAGCCGGCCUGAGAGGGUGACCGGCCACACUGGGACUGAGACACGGCCCAGACUCCUACGGGAGGCAGCAGUGGGGAAUAUUGCACAAUGGGCGCAAGCCUGAUGCAGCAACGCCGCGUGAGGGACGACGGCCUUCGGGUUGUAAACCUCUUUUAGCAGGGAAGAAGCGAAAGUGACGGUACCUGCAGAAAAAGCACCGGCUAACUACGU
rnacentral:rRNA from 1 species